GAAUAAUUUAAGUAUUUAAAUAAAAUGUUGAAAAAUUUAAUUUCAAACUCACGGUCGACAGAUGGUUUUAAAUUUUUAUUAGCAUCACAUGGCAUGCAGCAACAAUUUGGGUAAAAUUUACCGAAUAGAUUAAGAAAUAGAAAAAGAUAUCUUUUCUUGUAAAACGACACAUUUUGUAUACAUCUGAUAUCUAUAUACAAAGUACAACAAAGAAUCUAAUACAAAGUUUCAAAUACGAUAGUAAAUAUUGAAGUACACAUAUACACACACGCGCGCGCGCGUGUAAAAAAUGUAUAUGAACAUAUAUAUGUCGGAGUGCCAUCGAGAGUGAGGUUGGGGGCGGC